rnacentral:rRNA from 1 species
AGCGAACGCUGGCGGCAGGCUUAACACAUGCAAGUCGAGCGGGCAUAGCAAUAUGUCAGCGGCAGACGGGUGAGUAACGCGUGGGAACGUACCUUUUGGUUCGGAACAACACAGGGAAACUUGUGCUAAUACCGGAUAAGCCCUUACGGGGAAAGAUUUAUCGCCGAAAGAUCGGCCCGCGUCUGAUUAGCUAGUUGGUGAGGUAAUGGCUCACCAAGGCGACGAUCAGUAGCUGGUCUGAGAGGAUGAUCAGCCACAUUGGGACUGAGACACGGCCCAAACUCCUACGGGAGGCAGCAGUGGGGAAUAUUGGACAAUGGGCGCAAGCCUGAUCCAGCCAUGCCGCGUGAGUGAUGGAGGCCCUAGGGUUGUAAAGCUCUUUUGUGCGGGAAGAUAAUGUCGGUACCGCAAGAAUAAGCCCCGGCUAACUUCGUGCCAGCCGCCGCGGUAA